GACGAACGCUGGCGGCGUGCUUAACACAUGCAAGUCGAACGGAAAGGCCCCUUUGGGGGUACUCGAGUGGCGAACGGGUGAGUAACACGUGAGUAACCUGCCCUUGACUUCGGGAUAACUUCAGGAAACUGGGGCUAAUACCGGAUAGGAAUCCUUGCUGCAUGGUGGGGGUUGGAAAGCUUCGGCGGUUUUGGAUGGACUCGCGGCUUAUCAGCUUGCUGGUGGGGUAGUGGCUUACCAAGGCUUUGACGGGUAGCCGGCCUGAGAGGGCGACCGGCCACAUUGGGACUGAGAUACGGCCCAGACUCCUACGGGAGGCAGCAGUGGGGAAUAUUGCACAAUGGGCGGAAGCCUGAUGCAGCAACGCCGCGGGCGGGAUGACGGCCUUCGGGUUGGAAACCGCUUUCAGCAGGGGCGAAGCUUGUGGUGACGGUACCUGCAGAAGAAGCACCGGCUAACUACGUG
rnacentral:rRNA from 1 species